AGUGAGCGCUGGCGGUAGGCCUAACACAUGCAAGUCGAACGGCAGCACAGUAAGAGCUUGCUCUUACGGGUGGCGAGUGGCGGACGGGUGAGGAAUACAUCGGAAUCUACUUUUUCGUGGGGGAUAACGUAGGGAAACUUACGCUCAUACCGCAUACGACCUACGGUUGAAAGCAGGGGAUCUUCGGACCUUGCGCGAUUGAAUGCGCCGAUGUCGGAUUGGCUAGUUGGCGGGGUAAAGGCCCACCAAGGCGACGAUCCGUAGCUGGUCUGAGAGGAUGAUCAGCCACACUGGAACUGAGACACGGACCAGACUACUACGGGAGGAAGCAGUGGGGAAUAUUGGACAAUGGGCGCAAGCCUGAUCCAGCCAUACCGCGUGGGUGAAAAAGGCCUUAGGGUUGUAAAGCCCUUUUGUUGGGAAAGAAAAGCAGCAGGUUAAUACCCAGCUGUUCUGACGGUACCCAAAGAAUAAGCACCGGCUAACUACGUG
rnacentral:rRNA from 1 species